rnacentral:rRNA from 1 species
CGCCAUCACUCCUACGGGAGGCAGCAGUGGGGAAUAUUGCACAAUGGGCGCAAGCCUGAUGCAGCCAUGCCGCGUGUGUGAAGAAGGCCUUCGGGUUGUAAAGCACUUUCAGUCGUGAGGAAGGUAGUGUAGUUAAUAGCUGCAUUAUUUGACGUUAGCGACAGAAGAAGCACCGGCUAACUCCGUGCCAGCAGCCGCGGUAAUACGGAGGGUGCGAGCGUUAAUCGGAAUUACUGGGCGUAAAGCGCAUGCAGGUGGUUUGUUAAGUCAGAUGUGAAAGCCCCGGGGCUCAACCUCGGAAUAGCAUUUGAAACUGGCAGACUAGAGUACUGUAGAGGGGGUAGAAUUUCAGGUGUAGCGGUGAAAUGCGUAGAGAUCUGAAGGAAUACCGGUGGCGAAGGCGGCCCCCUGGACAGAUACUGACACUCAGAUGCGAAAGCGUGGGGAGCAAACAGGAUUAGAUACCCUGGUAG